rnacentral:misc_RNA from 1 species
GAUGAAGAACGCGGCGAAAUGCGAUAAGUAAUGUGAAUUGCAGAAUUCAGUGAAUCAUCGAAUCUUUGAACGCACAUUGCGCCCGCCAGUAUUCUGGCGGGCAUGCCUGUUCGAGCGUCAUUUCAACCAUCAAGCCCUGCUUGCGUUGGGGUCCUGCGGCUGCCCGCAGGCCCUGAAAACCAGUGGCGGGCUCGCUAGUCACACCGAGCGCAGUAAUACAUCUCGCUUUGGGCGUGCGGCGGGUUCUUGCCGUUAAACACCCCCUUUUUACCAAGGUUGACCUCGGAUCAGGUAGGAAUACCCGCUGAACUUAAGCAUAUCAAUAAGCGGAGGA